AUUGAACGCUGGCGGCAGGCUUAACACAUGCAAGUCGAGCGAGCGGCGGACGGGUGAGUAAUGUCUGGGAAACUGCCUGAUGGAAGGGGAUAACUACUGGAAACGGUAGCUAAUACCGCAUACCAUCAGAUGUGCCCAGAUGGGAGUAGCUAGUAGGUGGGGUAAUGGCUACCCUAGGCGACGAUCACUAGCUGGUCUGAGAGGCUGACAAGCCACCCUGUAACUGAGACACGGUCCAGACGCCUACGGGAGGCAGCAGUGGGGAAUAGUGCACAAUGGGCGCAAGCCUGAUGCAGCCAUGCCGCGUGUGUGAAGAAGGCCUUCGGGUUGUAAAGCACUUUCAGCGAGGAGGCGUUACUCGCAGAAGAAGCACCGGCUAACUCCGUGCCAGCCGCCGCGGUAAUUC
rnacentral:rRNA from 1 species